GUCGUUUUCUGUGUUGCUCUGGCAUGUGUCAUCGGCAUUGCUGUUUGCUGCUGUCUUCCAUGUAUUAUUGCAAUCUUGUAUGCUAUUGCAGACCAGGAAGGAGCAUCUAAGGAAGACAUCGAUCAGCUCUCAAAAUUCAAAUUCCGCAAAACUGUUAAUAGUGAGAAACUUGUUGGCGAGGCACAAGGACCUCUGGGUGGGAUAAUGACUGAAUGUGGUACAGAUUCACCAGUUGAACAUGUUCUUUCAGAGGAGGAUGCGGAAUGUUGCAUCUGCCUCUCUGCUUAUGAUGAUGGAGUUGAGCUAAGGGAACUUCCUUGUGGUCACCACUUCCACUGUCCCUGUGUAGAUAAGUGGCUGUACAUUAAUGCUACCUGCCCUCUCUGCAAGUACAAUAUCUUGAAGAGUAGCAGCCGAG
rnacentral:misc_RNA from 1 species